UACAAGCAUAAACUUUUUGGAUUGUGGAAUUGCAAACGAAACUCGAAUCAAAUUGAGGUAUCUCUCUAAUCUUGCUUGCUUUAUGCGUUUUAAAAAAAAUAAAAUUUAAUUUGAUUGCUUUACUGUUACGUGAUCAUAUAGUUACGAUCAUAAAAGGAUUAACCAUGCGGCUAUAUUUUCUUUGGUACGAUCUUUAUUCUUUUACGUGUUAUUUUUAUUUUACGCAUUGUUUUAUUGUUUCGAAUAUAUUUCUUUAAUACAUAAACUUUAAAUCUGUUCAGAAUGAAGUGUUCUAUAUUAUGGAGUCUAUGGAGAUUAUGCACCGUCUGCAACGUUGUCCGGAUCGUAUGAGGGAGAGUGCAUGAGUCGUUAUGGACUCAAAGACGUGUUUCCGGAAUUAUAAUUAUCGUUAUCGUAUGAUCGAUAUCUCGAUGUAUCUUUAAAUCUUGAUUAUGAUAUCUUUCUUAGUUAUACUAAAAUCAUAUUAAUUAAUGAAAUAUUUUGGAUUAUAUUGAGUUUAUCGUGUUCAUCGAAUAUCA
rnacentral:lncRNA from 1 species